AUUAAAUUAAGUUUUUAAUUGGGUUAAGACCUAUUUUAAUUAGGUUGAUCUAAUUUUGGUUUGAUUUGGUUUGAGAAACCAAAUUAAAACAAGUCAUGAGAUAGAAUCCUAGUAAGACUAGGAUUCCACCUUGCGCCACAUAAGCCUUCCCCACGCCCUCUCUCUUAUUCAAUGCCAAUCUCCUCUUAUUUUGUGUGACAAAAGCCCUCUCUCAGGUCUCUCCCACGUUCACAAAAGGUCUCCUCUCUUCUUUCUUACAUGGAAGGUGGUUUGGAUCAAAUAAAAAAGGAAUAAGUUUGGAUUUCGAAUUCUAUGAGAUAGAGUUUUAGAAAUCCAAAACUCUUUCAAUUUUGCACCAAAUUUAUCCAAUU
rnacentral:lncRNA from 1 species